GAAGUCGUUACUCCAACCCUUGUGGAGGAGGACGCCGAAGGUGGGGCUAAUGACUGGGGUGAAGUCGUAACAAGGUAGCCGUACCGGAAGGUGCGGCUGGAUCACCUCCUAACAGGGAGACAACAAAAUGUAAAUAUUAAUUUUGUCACCUUAGGUCGAUCGGUAUCUCAGAUUCUUAUUUUUUAAGAAUUUCAGUUUCUAAGUUUUUUCUAGGUCACACCCAUCACUUUUUCCUGGGCCAUUAGCUCAGGUGGUUAGAGCGCACCCCUGAUAAGGGUGAGGUCCCUGGUUCAAGUCCAGGAUGGCCCAUAUCUCUAUGUUGGGGGUAUAGCUCAGUUGGUAGAGCGCCUGCUUUGCAAGCAGGAUGUCAGCGGUUCGAGUCCGCUUACCUCCACUGAAUACCACCUCUUACAUGUAUCAAAGACGGAAAUUGUUUUGAGUCGUGUCCUAAUUUGCUCUGAGCGAAUCUAGCUUCCUAUUUUAUUCAAUAAAUAAGAUGCUGGACUCAUUGAAUUUUUUCAUUGUUUUCAGAGAACCUUGACAACUGCAUAGAUUAUUUUUGAAGACAAUAAGCAUCUUUAAUGAUGCAGAUUUAUUAUUUGUGCGAAUGCAUUAAAUAACAAUUCUAUUAAGCUGAUGCUUCAAUUAUUGAAGUUAUUGGUCAAGCUACAAAGGGCUCACGGAGGAU
rnacentral:misc_RNA from 1 species